CACAGACUCUGAAAACAAGAGUUCUAAAAUUUUUUUAAGACUUUAAGUUUUAAUGACAAAACCCAUUUUAAUAUGUGAAUUGGGGUUUAUAUGUUAUAAAACUAGACUCCUCUCUUCAAGUUACACCUUGGAUAUCACCAAGCCUAUAGCUGAUAAUGGAAGCUGGGCUAGAAUGGAUUCCUUAAAUCAUUGUGCUAAUUGCCUAAGGCCAUAUUUGUUAGUAGAGGAAAAUGUGGUUCAAAGAGGACAACUGGCUUGCCAAAAGUCACCUGGGUAAUAAGUAUGAAAAAGGAGGAAAAGACCUAAUGAUCUCAUGACAUCUUUCUGCUGGAUUUGUCAUUGGGAUUACUGUGGCCUCUCUCAUCAUUCUUAUGAUUACAUGCAAGGUCAGAUCCUAUCACACAAAAGGACAACUCUGGAGUGCAGACAGUGGCAAUUGUUUUGCCUGCUAAAGGUGCUCCAGAAGCAAGUUCAUGUAAACAGCAUGGCAACCCUGACCAAACUGGAUUUAAUCACUGUCUGCUUGGUUUUCCAGAAUGAAGCUACUUUAAAAUGAGAACCUGGUAAGACAAUAGAAAAUUUAUUUCUGCCCACAGCAAUGGGAGCCACAGUAGCUCCUACUUCCCUCUACUGUUGUAAGGAUCAGAUGCAAUAAUAUUUUAAAGUAUUUCUCAAACUGCCUGGUACAUAAAUGCUUUUUCCCCUUCCUUUCAGCGGUUUUCAUAAAAAUGGAAGAUUAAUCCAUGGAACAUAAUCUCUGUAAAUAUUUCCAAACAAAUACUGGAUUAAUA
rnacentral:lncRNA from 1 species